rnacentral:lncRNA from 10 species
CAGGUUUUCCCCAAGGACCCUGGACAAUGCUGGUUUUUCCUAUGUGCACCACCAAAGGGCCUAUCCAGCUUCUGGAGUCUACCUGGAUUCCUGGGCUCAUGGCCCCUUCCUCCAUCUUCAAACCAGCAAUGAUGGAGCUGAGCCUGACACUCUAACCGGUUCUCUGGGUGUACUGCAAAGGUCUAAUAAAAGGCACCUUUGCCCGGUUGCUUCAAUUCUAGGAAGCUGUUCAAUGUUUGACUAUAUUUCUCCAUACUCAUUUGAAAACAGUUCAUCAGAUUGGAACGACCUGGAGCAGCCAGCAGAGUGACAAAUGAGGAAGAGGACAGAAUCUAGCUGAAGAAGCUCUGGAAGAUACCAUUUGAAGUCUUGAGUGCUUGAACUCACAAAGAAAGCACAUGAGUACACACUAGCACUUGAGCUCUUCAUUUUAAACAGAAUAAAGAAUGUACUGCUAUUAUUGUCAUUUUACAGAUAGGGAAAUUCAGACUCACCAGGGCUACUCAGAUACAAAGAAAAUGAGCCAGAAUUUCAAGCAAGCCUGAGCUUAGAAUCUACACUAUUUUUUUUUUUUUUUUUGAGACAUGGUCUUACUUUGUCACCCAGGCUGGAGUUCAGUGGUAUUAGGUUGGCACAAAAGUAAUUGUGGUCUCUGCCACUUAAAACUAGAGCCCGAAACUGCAAUUACUUUUGCACCAACCUAAUGCACUUACCAGAGCUCACUUACGCCUUGACCUCCUGGGCUCAAGUGAUUCUCCCACCUCAGCCUCCCAAGUGGCUGGGAAUGUGGGCAUGCACCACCCUGCCCGGCUAGCUUUUCUUUCUUUUUUUUUUGUGGAGACAGGAUUUUGCCAUGUUGUCCCGGCUGGUCUUUAACUCCUGAGCUCAAACUAUCCUUCUGCCCUGGCCUCCCAAAGUUCUGGGAUUACAGGCAUGAGCCACUGUGCCCGGCCCAGAACCUAUGCUCCUAACUGCCACACCAAUUGACCUCUAUUCAGCCAUUUUUAUUUCUAUAGCACUUGGUAUAAUUUCACUUUGCACACAGUAUCUAUAGAUAAUCAUUCCAGGGCAUGUAAUCGUCAUAAGAUUAUUUAUGUUAUUGCAUGUGUAUUACUGCAUGUAAUCUUCAUGUGUUAUUGCCUCUAACAAGUUAUGUAUUUCCAUGUAGUCUUCAUAACUGUGUAUAGAAGACCAUUUUAGAGAUGGAAAACUGAGACUCAGAAGUGGUAAUUGUCCUACUGGUCAGAGAUUUAGCCAGGGUUUGGAUUGUGGAAUGCAGAGGACCACUUACUUUUCACUAGACCAUAAAUGCUCCUCACCACUGAGGCAUGUCAAAUGCCAGAUAUCUCCAGGAACCUUAGGCUACGUCUCCAUUGUUUUUGCUUUUUCCCCCCUUAGACACAGCUUGGCAAAGAACAAAUGAUCCCAAACACCAAACAGCACACUUGGAAACAUUUAACCCGCAUACUUUCAGACUUUCUGGCAUGGACCAACCUCUUGUCUUACCUUUGUUCCUGGCCAGAAAGAAAUGGCAUGAAAAGAUGGACAGUUUUUAUAACCUCUUUGAGCUCUAAACCAUGUUUCCUGUGCACUUAGGAGAUCUUAAUAGAAACCAAGUACUUCUUUUAGGCAUCUAUACUCUUAAUGCCGUAAGUCAAGUCAAGUACCCAGGUGGUUAAGAUAACUGUACCAACAGAAACAUUUUUAAAAAAUAUCCUAACACAACAUGAAGUGACCAUCGCGAAUUCAAAGAAGCAGGC